AAGAUAGUAUCCAAAGGGAAGAAUCGGCUACUUCAGAAGAGUGCUGCUCCCCAUAGAAAGAAAGGCUUUUACAGUGAAGUUGUAACGUGAAAUCACACCAUUCUCUGAUAGCCGGGGAAUAGAUAGCCAAUUGAACAGAAGUUGGGACAGGGUUCGAAUUGAGAAAAGCCACGAUGCAAAUACAGGUCUACAACGACUGUUCCAAGGCUCAUGAAGAUUUUUUUUCUUUUGCUCCAAGGAAAUAAAGAUACCAUCUUUGCGGUUAACACCACGAAAGUGUUAGCCAAAGCAUAUUCCAAGACGGUAGGAACCCAUGGCUGGUGGAGGUCUUCCAAGGCCUUUCCUUUAGGUACGGGAGGGGGGGUGUUGUUUGUUUUGCUUUUGCUUUGUUUGUUUUCUGUUUUACUACUGUAUUCUUGCAGUUUCCUAAGGAUCAGUGUAGACUGAACUUCAGAGUGAGUAAUAGUCGAUUUACACAUUAAGAGAAAAAGCUAAGCUGAGCCAGGAGCCCUAAGCUUAAAAGGGGACUUCAGCAAAGCCUUCCAGGAAGUUGCCCGGGGCUACGUAUACACCCUGCAUGCUUUUAAUCCCUUACUGAAAGACAGAGCACUAAGAUCAUGGGGCUACCAAAGAAAAAUUGGGAGAAAACAAAGAAGGAUUUUGUAAAAAUGCAUUACUUUUGCUAGAAAUUGAAGGCACUGUUUGACACAGUACAGUAUUAGCUGUCAUCUCUGCUUAAAACCCACUUAAUGUAAAGUGUCAGGAAGCACUUCUGUGAAGAGGGGAGACUUUAACAAAAACUAAGAAGGUACCAGGAGUGUUAAUAAUACUGGAUGUUUAUUAAUUUAGUGAACCUUGGCUCUUAUCACACAGGGAUAACAUGCCUUAGUUUUCAGAAUUUACCAUGUUCAAUGGAUACAAAUUGCCAUUAAACAGAAUGAAGACUAUUUUGGUGAUCCUAAGGGCCUAAGACUAGAGUAUAGUUUUAUGUGCAUGUUCUCUAUAAGGAAAAAAAAUGUUUUUCAAAUCAUACUCUUCUACAGCAAGAAAACUUAGUAGGCUCAUAUGUCUGUAGAAGCGUAACUCUAAGUGUCCCAAGCCAAAGAUGCCAGAUAAGCUUAUUUCUGUUUGUUCCAGAGAUGAAACUUACCAAGAGGAGGCUGAAGGUCAGCGAAGGAGGAGAACAACGGCUUCUUUAAAUCCUCUCCACUAAAGCCCUGAAGCGACACUCAAGCCGACUUCACCUUAAGUCAGGAAAAAAUCCACCAAAUCUCUCAUCCUAUCAGAAUGAAAGCUCUAUUGAGAGGGUGGGAAAAGAAAACCAUAAAAUGUGCUUUCAAAGUAAUUUAAAAAUUCUGUGAAGUAGUAGUAAUAUUAAUAAAACGUCUGGCUUCUGAGCAUUGGCACUUAGUGUGGAUAUUCUUUUAGUUUUCUUAUAUGGAAUAUUUUGUUUGGAAUACAAUUAGCUACAUUUUAAAAUUGUCUUUAAAACUGUCCCAUUUUAAAUUAGAUUUUCAUAAAGAAGGUAUUUGUAAAAAAUUAGCUAAUUUGGUCUUUUCUG
rnacentral:lncRNA from 1 species